CAAAUUUUUCUGAAAAUUGCAAUAAUAUAUAUCUAAUACAGCUUUCACUGAUUUCAAUAAAAAAAUUUGAAUUAAACUUGAGAAAGUGAGAGGGAGACUCAGAAAGUUAAGGGGGCAGGAGAUGUCAUUUGGUCAAAGACCAAUGCAAAGAAAAAGGGAAGAAUCUUCUCAUAUAUGUACCACUUUCGUUAUCCAAUAUGUGUAUCACUUUGCUUCCUUUUAAAACAAUUGGAAGGAAAGUAAUAGGCACAUUGCUUUAAAUACAAUAUCUAUUUUGUUAUAGCUAAGAAGCUGAUUCAAUCAUCAGCCUUUUUGCCUUCUUCUUAAGAACACUGCAUUCGGUUCAUUUAAUGGGUAGAAUGUCAUAAUUAGAACUUUCAAAAUCCUGUAUAUUUGACUAUCAUCUGAAAAAUAAGGUUGAAAUUAUCGUGACAAAAGAAUUUAAUGGGAAACAUUACUAUACCACCCAAUUAUUAAAUUCUUAUUAGUACUAUACUACCCACAAUUUGCCACAUACAUGCAUAUGUGUGAAUUUAUAUACUGCAUUUAUGCAGAGUUCAAUAUCUCAUUAUUGAUUCUUUGCAGUUUGCACAAUGCACACAUUCGAAUGAAGAGCAAAUACAAAGAAAAGUAAACUCAAAAGUCUAACGCUGUUGAUGGCAGGCUAGUUGCUGUUGGUGUAAUAGAUAUCAUCCCUAAAUGUUUGUCAAGUAAAUAUUUGUUCUGGGACCCAGACUUUGCCUUCCUAUCACUAGGAAAGUACUCAGCUCUGCAAGAGAUAGGUUGGGUGUGAGAGAAUCAAAAUCCAUUGCCCUAGUCUUCAAUAUUACUAUCUUGGCUAUUAUAUUCAUUCCUGCAGCAAAAUGAGAUAUAAAGCGGCAUAUCACCCGUCUAAGCUUCUCUGCCCUCUUCGGUACCAGUGGAUUUCUUUUGAUAUUGCCAGGCCUUUGCUUUAUAAAAUGUCAUAUGUAGUCUUAUCAGAUUUUGCCAAUUUACAAAACGGAGAGUUGUCACCACCUGAUGUACAACAAUGUCAAGGAAGUGCAAUAUGAUGACAUUCACCAAGACUCAAAUGAUCCUUUUAUGUGUGAAGAUGAAGAAAUGAUUGAUCAUGAAUAUGAGAGCCUCAGUGAUGAAUCAGACACAGAAAGCACUGGUCUGAGAUCUGUUGAAAUAGAAGAUGGUGACAUCAGUAAUAUCCUAAUUGGGCUGAAGGGUUCUCAUUUGAGAUACAAGGUAUGUGUUAGUCAAUGCAGGUGCAUCGAUGACUCUGCAGCAGCUUAUAAUUUUGAUUAUUAAAGAGUUUUUUUCUCUAUUAUUAUUAUUAUUAUUAUUAUUUUUAAAGUUUAUUUAGGUAGUCAGUAUCAUAUUCAUUUAUUUUGAAGUUAUAAUGGCUAGCAGUGUUGCUGGUUUCCAGUGUUCCUCCUAGAUACGUGUCAUCCCAAAAUUCUACUUACAGAAGCUUGAUGCUAAAAAGUUAUAUGAUAAAGAAAUCUUAAGCAUGAAAUGGACUUUGAACUCUCUCCAUUUCAAGUGAAAUAAAGAAAUUUUGUUCCAUCCUAGGUAGGGUUCUGCUUGUGUCUAGUUACUGUCCUAAUCAAACACAUCCAAAUGUGGACUUGUGGAUACAACAGACACGUGUCCACAUCUGGUUGUUUCCAGUUCCUGCGAACUAUUCAUAAGCUGGAUUUAUUCUACAUACUUUAAUAAUUUAAGAAUUCAUCUCCUAAACUGCUUAUAAAUCAUAAAAUAAUAAUUAAAAAAAAAAAACUAAUAACACCAAACCGACUCUCUUGGUGUUAUGUGCAAAAAUCAUGAGAAUAAGACAUCUAGAGACUAGAAAUUAAUUUCAUGUUUGGCCAAGUACAAAGCAGACCUCAAAAUCACCACUAAUGGCCAUUCUCUAUGUCUUCCUAUUCAUCUUCAUAUUCCUAAGCAAUUCUCACAUGACAAAUUCAAGUAAGCAUGCUAAAAAAUAUAUAUAACCAAAGUUAGAUCAAUCUCUAGUUUCUCAGUCAGUAAUAUGAUUUCAGACCCCAUCUUAUCAAACUACAAGUUAAAGACUGAAAGGAUGGAAACCACUGCAAAUGAUGUUUUCAAUUUUGGUGUUGUGCUACUUCAACUUUUGACAGGAAGAAAGCCAGAAUCUCUGUUUAAAGAGGUAUGCUCUAUUUAACAUGUUGUCUCUCAUAUAGUUUAGCAUGUUACUAUUUUAUAAGUAGUUUUUUCACCUAAGAUGGUAAAUUCCAGCGGAUUAGCUGAAUAUAUUUCUAUUGUCAAUUAUCACUGAUACAGGCAAGGAAUGCAAUAAUGAAAGGAGGAAACAUAAGUGCCAUGGCAAAUCCAUGCAUAAGUGGGGCUUAUAUUGUAAAUGAAUUUCAAAAUGUAUUAUCGAUAGCUGUUCAAUGUACUACUCCAAAUGAACAAGAAAGACCAAACAUGGAAGAAGUCUUACAGAAACUUGAAGAAACCCAUAUUUUAAGUCUAAACUUCAAAUCCAACUGCAAGAAUUUUUGAAAAAAAAAAAAAAAUGUUUGGAAGUUGGAACCAGCAAUACUACAAAACAUGUUUUAUGGAUUUGUAUUAUAUAUUUCUCAUUAUAAAAUUAAGUGCCAACAAUGGUCAGUCUUGCACACAUAGAAUUGAUAGGUCUGGUCUUGAACGGUUCAAUGAUGGGAUCAGCCUAAGGGAUUGGCUUAAACCUGGGCAUAGUAAACUAAACAAAGCUGAAAGUGUGCUUAUAUUCAUGUAGUACACUCAUGUAGAACACUGAAAGUCUUUCCCUUAAUAGAAAAUAAAAAACCCAAAAGACAAGCACAACCAGACCAACAUUCUAGUAAUCAUCGAAAAAUAUAUAUUAACUAACUAACUAAAUUGAUCAAAACCCAGAAUCAAAUUACUUUCGGGAUCAAAACCCAGAAUCAAAUUAUGCAUAAAAAUCACAAAUUUACAAACAAAAAUACCCACAAGCUGAACAUGCAAGUUGAGCGAGACAUACCUUGUGAGAGGGAGACCGAGAGCGUGAGCAACAGUGCGAGAGGGAGACCGAGAGCGAGACGGCGACGGAGAAUGAGGCAGAUCGCGAGAUUGAGAGGGAGAAUGAGAGUAUUUACGAGAUUGAGAGGAAGAAUGAGAGUAUUUGUGAGGAAAUAGCUUUAGAUUGAGAGAGGGAGAUAGCUUUAGAUUGAGAGAGGGAGAUAGCGAGAUUGAGAG